rnacentral:tRNA from 1 species
GGCCUGAAUGGCCGAGUGUCUGGCGCUCGGUGCCACAGGUUUCGGGUUCGAGUCCCGGCGUCAUGGAUGUUUGUAGUGGUUCGAAUCCACUUUAAGCCG